CAUGUGCAUCAAUUAUCAGGAACGCUUUAAUCCAACUGGGACCCCAAACAAACACCCCGUUUUAAUCCCGGGUGAAGUGAUACAAACAAUUUACAAAGCCUCACGACCCGGCAGCAACCCGAGUCUUACGUGAUCUGGCGAAACUCAUCUGCCUCCUAAGCUCCAACGCCACUGCUUUUCUUUCCCUGUCUCCAGCACUCAGCUCCUUCGGGUCUAUGGCAAUUGUACUUGCUGUUCCUCCUGCCUGGAUUAGUCCUACAGCUUGCCCUGACUGCAUCCUUCUCAUCAUUCAGAUCUCAACGCAAGCAUCACCUCCUUCCUCUGAGGCCUUGGCCUUCAACAUCCCAUUCCCUACCCCACAUCAUUCCAGACUGGAAGCUCUAGAGCUGGCAUUAGAACACUG
rnacentral:lncRNA from 1 species